rnacentral:pre_miRNA from 1 species
UGUCUUGCUUUGACUCACUCAACCUGGGUGUGAUGUUAUUUCGAUUUGGUAUCCAUCACAACCUCCUUGAGUGAGCGAUAGCAGGAUA